UCUUCUUUUUGUAAUUUGAUCUGCAUGUUAUAAUUUGAUAACUUUUGGAAGGUUUGAAAAUUGGAAAGCAGAACGAUCUUGUGUAUAUUGACGAUUGAUUUACAAAUCCCUACAUCACAAGUUUCAGUUUCCAGAUUAAUUAAUCAGUAUCUUGUGAAUCAUUUUGCAUUUCAAGAGGAAUGGAAAAAGGCUUGAAGAUGAGCUGCCCCUUGAAGCAAAUGGAGACUAAAUCAAGUCAAGGAGGAGGAGCUUAAUUAAUGGUAUUUUUCUCUAACAACAGAUGACUUGGAGAUAGUCUAGAGUCCUGAAUCUUUGCAUCAUGAGGAGGAUAUGGUUCAGUGGACAGAAAGUUAAGGCCAUGGGCUGAAGCUUUAUAGGCUGUUCUGUUUGAAAACCACAGCUAGAUGUCAGGAAGACGACUGCAUAAUCAAGCAAGUUGGGAGACCUGGUGCUAAAAGAUUGUCUGUUCUUGCAGAAUUCUUACCAGGAGGAAAGCCAAUACUUAGUUGAGUGGCAAAUCCAGUCAAGCAAGGAGGAACUCAAUGGUGAAUCAAGUCAAGCAAUGAGGAGGUGAAUGGAAGUUAAUGGUGAAUAGCACGGUGGAGCUUAAUGAAAUUCCGGAUUUUUUCUCUUUUCCAGGUAAAUUUUUGGUUUUUAAUAUCAUAACUGUAGCAUUCUUGUUAAAAAGGUUGACCACUUGCAAUACUUGGUCUAUUUUCAGUAUGAAAAUAUUAAUGUAAUAGUCCUGAGGAUAGGUCCACCACUUGCAACACUUUCUGUAUUUUCAUUAUGAAAAGAUUAAUGGAA